GGGGGAUAUUGCACAAUGGAGGGAACUCUGAUGCAGCGACGCCGCGUGAGGGAAGAAGGUCUUCGGAUCGUAAAGCUCUGUUGCCAGGGAAGAACGUCCGUUAGAGUAACUGCUAACGGAGUGACGGUACCUGAGAAGAAAGCCCCGGCUAACUACGUGCCAGCAGCCGCGGUAAUACGUAGGGGGCGAGCGUUGUCCGGAAUUAUUGGGCGUAAAGCGCGCGCAGGCGGCUGUUUAAGUCUGGUGUUUAAUCCUGGGGCUCAACCCCGGGUCGCACUGGAAACUGGGCAGCUUGAGUGCAGAAGAGGAGAGUGGAAUUCCACGUGUAGCGGUGAAAUGCGUAGAGAUGUGGAGGAACACCAGUGGCGAAGGCGACUCUCUGGGCUGUAACUGACGCUGAGGCGCGAAAGCGUGGGGAGCAAAC
rnacentral:rRNA from 1 species